UACGAAGGGGGCUAGCGUUGUUCGGAAUUACUGGGCGUAAAGCGUGCGCAGGCGGCUUCUCAAGUCAGGGGUGAAAGCCCAGAGCUCAACUCUGGAACUGCCUUUGAUACUGGGUAUCUUGAGUAUGGAAGAGGUUAGUGGAAUUGCGAGUGUAGAGGUGAAAUUCGUAGAUAUUCGCAGGAACACCAGUGGCGAAGGCGGCUAACUGGUCCUAACUGACGCUGAGGUGCGAAAGCGUGGGGGAGCAA
rnacentral:rRNA from 1 species